rnacentral:SRP_RNA from 1 species
GCUGGGCAUGGUGGCGGAUGCCUGUAAUCCCAGCUACUUGGGAGGCUGGGACAGGAGAAUCACUUAAACCAGGGAGGCAGAGGUUGCAGUGAGCUGAAAUCGAGACACUGUACUCCAGCCUGGUGACAGAGUGAGACUCCAUCUCAAAAAAAAAAAAAAAAAAAAAAAAGAGAGAGAGACGGAGUCCUGCUGUGUUGCCCAGGCUGGAGUGCAGUGUCUUGAUCUCAGCUCACUGCAACCUCCACCUCCCGGGUUUAUGUAAUUCUCCUGUCUCAG